GAGUGACAGAGAAACCAAGGGGACAGGAGCAGAUGAAAGCCCUGAACCAAGCGUGGCUGGAGCAGGGUGUUGAGGAGGCAAUUCCUGCUUUCUGUUGCCCUGUGUUAGAUCCCUUGAAUCGAGAUGGGGCCUUCUAAUUAUUCUCUCUGGAUCCAUUAUUCAGUACUAUCUAGACAGCAGGAAAGAGAAUUGCCUUCACCAGCAAUAUAGUAUCACACCAGCAGCUAUACUUCAUCCCGCUUCACUUAGACAAGUUCUAAAAGCUCCUUAGAUAAAAAUGGCUGGAGAAGACUUCAUCAGUAACGAGGCCUGGAGCUGUUAACAGAAGGAGGAUAACCCACACAUGGUCUGAUCCACAGAAUCACCACCUCAGUGGUUUCUCCAAUAUACCAGAGCAGCUGCUGGAGAUUGAGCUGCAAAGUUUUAAUGCUGACACAGGACAUCACAUUCAGAGGUAGAGCCCUGCACAUGGAGCUGUGGGUGUCACUGGAGACAGCUGGGGACAGAAGGGCUCAGGGGGAGCUGAGGACUGUAAGGAAGAGACAUCUGUUUGCAGAGUAGCAAAGGAAGAAGAAUCUCUAUUGCUUCAACCCCAAGUCCAAUGAACCACACAAUUACAACUUCACUUCCAUUAACUUGAAAUCCACUUGCAACAUUAACCUCAAAAGGAAUAUGUUUAAAAAAAAAGAAAAUAUUCAUGUUCAUUUCCAGCACUAAUCAGAAACAUGCGCUGAAGAAUAAAAGACACUUUUCCAGAUUCUGUGUAAUAGAGACUCUUUACAAAGAAGCUGAGCACAGCUAGAAGAAAAACCUUCAACCCAUGUGCAUGGUUUCAUUCUGGAUCAAAUAACUCUGGCAGCAAACCAAGCUUUCACUGGGAUGGAGGGAUGCUGAUGGAAUGGAGGGAUGCUGUUCCCAUGGGGCACCAAUUACAGACUCAGGAGCGGACCACUACCUUCUCCAACACAGCUACCACCACGUGGGUACGCCAACAAGCUGGAUGUGUCUAGGUCAAAGGCUAGAGCAGAGACCAUGCAGCCUAAAAUACCACCAACCGUUUCCCUCGUGGGAGCUGGAUAUCAUCAGGCUGGGACCAGACAACACUGCUAAUCAGCACAGCACUACUAAUACAAGUGGAGCCAUGAGUUCACACAUAGAAAGAAUCCAGCCCGAGGCUGGAUUACAGAUAACCCUCAAGGAAACCACAGGAAAAUUGGCAUUAGUAAGAUGCAUAUAUUCCUACCACAAUGUUAUACUUCUGGCAGGUGCCAAAUACAUUCUAACACUAAAAAAAUGCUCCAAAAGCUUGUGCUAACGAUAAGAGGCAGUAAGAAAUAAGCCUCAAUUUUUGCAGCAUUAGAAAGGCUUCCCCAAGACCAGCAGUGGCCUGCCCAGAGCUCCUGGGCUAAAUUAGGUAGAAGGGCCAAGCUUGCACAUCGUGGUAGAAGAUGACAGGGACCCAGCACUUGAACCUUGGCUCAAGUUCAGGCUUUGAUUCAAGAUUUUAACUCUAAUUAAACUGCAGUAAUUCUCGGGAAAUCAGUUGAUGCAUCCAUAGAGCUCAUGGCCAGAAAAUUGCCUUGACUGACCUGCAAAACCCACACACUUUUUUAUCCAGUCUUGGUGAAUUCAAGCUCAUGCUUGAAUGAAGUUUUGGCUUUUCAGAGACAUACAGUCUCAACGUCAAGAUUAAAACAUUAGAGUGACCCCAAGUGCUUUGACAAGUUGCUCAAUAGUUAAAAUGGCCUUCAAACAGCACAGAGACCAUGCCUCUUCCCUGUGUGUUUAUUCUGAGGUGAGCAAACUCAAUCCUGAGAUAUUCACUUGAAAGAAAUAACAAGAUCAUUUCACUGCUCUUUGUGAUAAUCUGUUCUUUACUGCCCACAAAUUCCUCACAGCCAAUAGUCAUUCAGAGAUACACUGGACAAUCAUGAAAGCACAAAAAAAAAUAGCACAAGCAGUUUUUCAUAUGAAAAAGCAUGUUAGUCAUCAUCUGUGAUCCUUCUGGUUAGAGUGUUUCAGUAAUCUGGCCGGACAGCAGAAGGGAUGCCACGUCACCACACUGACACAUCAGAUGACUUGUACAAAUGCAUAUUUAUAAUGCAAGUAUCCACACAAAUUGGAAGGGACUGGAAAAAUGGGUCUUUUGUAUGUAUUGUCAGUUUUGCUGGUUUAUGUGAUUCUUUUACUUAGCAGCAGGAGGGAAGGGGAAAGGAUUUAUAAAGGAACAGAAAACUGUUCUUGUGAAGCUGUACCAAUUGGGAACGGACCUGGUAACUACUGUCAAGUCUAAAAUCACUUCCAGUUCACUGUUGAAGCUAACCAGAUUUCCAAAGAAAUCUUGUCCCUCUAAAUUUACCAUCUUCACCACACUCCUCAUUUGCUCAUACUCCUUAGCUUCUGAAAUCCACAAGAGAGAAGCAGGACCCAAGAACUACAACAGUGUCCUCAUGGCUUUUUCACUAAAUGAGGGGGUUUUGCAAGAAUACGUCCCAGAGCUUGCAAAGCCAUCGCUGAGAGCAGCUUGGAUCUGGUCCCAUUUGUUUCUGCAGAACCUGCAGCAUCCCAACAGAGAUGGGAAGGAGGAAAGGCAUCUGAACUCAAAGCUGCAGCCUUGCUCAGAGAAGGAAAUAAUCAAGCUCUUACAUUAACCAGCUGCCGCAAGAGCUUCAGCAAGCUAGAAACGUGUUAGUUAAUCCUUAACAUUAAUAGCACAAGAGUCACCAGGAACCUGAAUGGACAAGAGAUAAGGCUUAAC